CAGCAGCCGCGGUAAUACGUAGGUGGCAAGCGUUGUCCGGAAUUAUUGGGCGUAAAGCGCGCGCAGGCGGCCUAUCCAGUCUGUCUUAAAAGUUCGGGGCUCAACCCCGUGAUGGGAUGGAAACUAGUAGGCUAGAGUAUCGGAGAGGAAAGCGGAAUUCCUAGUGUAGCGGUGAAAUGCGUAGAUAUUAGGAAGAACACCAGUGGCGAAGGCGGCUUUCUGGACGAAAACUGACGCUGAGGCGCGAAAGCCAAGGGAGCGAACGGGAUUAGAUACCCCCGUAGUCCCUGUCUCUUAUACA
rnacentral:rRNA from 1 species